rnacentral:lncRNA from 1 species
UUUUGAUAAGAUGAUGCGAUUUUUGACAGAGACUUGUUCCAUCUCGGACGCCCCUUUGUUGAAACAGGGCAGAUGGUGUUCUACGGAAACACUUUUACCACCUCAAUUCAUUUCUACACGUUGUUUACUCUAGCACACUGUUCCUUUUGGCUUACUCACACGUGCCUAGACUAACACUGGGAGCCAUUUGCUGGGUACAUUUGGUUCCUGGUCACUCUGCUUCACAAUCCGCUAUUGUAAAAUCACCCUCUUAAGUUUAUUUUUGUCAUCUGUGGGCACAGACUUUGGGCAUGAUUUUCAGUUUUAUAAUAUAAUCAAAUAAUUGACAGGAUUUAGAAUGACAAAUGGAUGAUGUCAGUGUGUUUAAAUAGGUGAGCCCUCUAGAAAAGCACAUCACUCCUCAGGGCAUCAGAAUUCCAGCUCUUUGGGCUCCUGAUUCUCAUCUUUGGCGAAAGGACUCAGCCAAACAUGAAGAUCCUUGCAUUUGUCUUUUUUAUCUUGGCUCUCCUGGUUGCCAUGAUUGGAGCCGAUUCAUCUGAGGAGAGAUUUAGAAGGCAUGUGAGAAGAUACCCGAGAGAGUAUUUUAAUUCUCAGCUAUCUCAAGAAGAUAGACCUUAUCAACCUGAUCCAUCAAUUUAUUAUCCUGAAUAUCCAUAUCCAUAUCCAGUGCAAUAGCGUUAGAAUGCUGUUCAGUACCACAGGACGGGAUUACAGAGGCUUGGCGGGAGAUUCGAUUUGCUCUGUGCUCAUGAUGAUUCUUCCUACUCCACAACCCUUUACCCAUCUGGCAACGUUAUGUUAGCCCUCAACUAACAAAUACAGCCAAAGUUUUUUUAAAGCAUCCUUUUGAAUAAUUCAAAAGAGUAGCAUAUUAUAUGCAUUCUCUUAUGGAUGAUAUUGGAAUUUAAAAAGAAUUUGAGCCAUAAAUGGUUUCCAACACAAAAAAGAAAAUGAAGUCCAACAGUGUUACAUGAACAACACAACCCGAGAUCAAUGUUCACUCCUUUUAAAACAGUGGUAAUAAUAUUCUCUGAACUAUUUGAUUUUUUCCACUUUGUUCUCUGUGUUAAUUGUACUACAAAAUGAGAAAAAGCUUGCCAUGCAUAAUAAAGUGAUCUAUCAAGCACA